AGCUCAUGGCCAUAAGUGAGGGUAGGACCAGAGAACUAAACCAGGACUAAACCAGGACUAAACCAGGACUAAACCAGGACUAAAUCAGGACUAAACCAGGUCUAAACCAGGACUAAACCAGGACUAAAUCAGGACUAAACCAGGUCUAAACCAGGACUAAACCAGGACUAAACCAGGACUAAACCAGGUCUAAACCAGGACUAAACCAGGACUAAACCAGGUCUAAACCAGGACUAAACCAGGACUAAACCAGAACUAAACCAGGACUAAACCAGGACUAAACCAGGUCUAAACCAGGUCUAAACCAGGACUAAACCAGGUCUAAACCAGGACUAAACCAGGUCUAAACCAGGACUAAACCAAGACUAAACCAGGACUAAACCAGGACUAAACCAGGACUAAAUCAGGACUAAACCAGGACUAAACCAGGACUAAACCAGGACUAAACCAGGUCUAAACCAGGACUAAACCAGGACUAAACCAGGACUAAACCAGGACUAAAUCAGGACUAAACCAGGACUAAAUCAGGACUAAACCAGGUCUAAACCAGGACUAAACCAGGUCUAAACCAGGUCUAAACCAGGACUAAACCAGGACUAAACCAGGUCUAAACCAGGUCUAAACCAGGACUAAACCAGGACUAAACCAGGACUAAACCAGGUCUAAACCAGGACUAAACCAGGACUAAACCAGGACUAAACCAGGUCUAAACCAGGACUAAAUCAG
ensembl:lncRNA